CACGUAGGAGGCGAGCGUUGUCCGGAAUUACUGGGCGUAAAGCGCACGUAGGCGGAUUUGUAAGUCAGGGGUGAAAUCCCGGGGGCUCAACCUCGGAACUGCCUUUGAUACUGCAAAUCUCGAGUCCGAUAGAGGUGGGUGGAAUUCCUAGUGUAGAGGUGAAAUUCGUAGAUAUUAGGAAGAACACCGGUGGCGAAGGCGGCCCACUGGAUCGGUACUGACGCUGAGGUGCGAAAGCGUGGGGAGCAAACAGGG
rnacentral:rRNA from 1 species